UUUUAACGGCCGCAGUAUAUUGACUGUGCAAAGGUAGCAUAAUCAAUAGUCUUUUAAUUGAAGGCUUGAAUGAAUGGUUGGACGAGAUAUUAACUGUUUCAUUUAAAUUUAUAAUAAAAUUUUAUUUUUUAGUUAAAAAGCUAAAAUUUAUUUAAAAGACGAGAAGACCCUAUAAAUCUUUAUAUUUAAAUUAUUAUAAAUUUAUAGAAUUUUUUUUUUAUUAUAAUAUUAAAUAUUUUAUUGGGGUGAUAUUAAAAUUUGAAAAACUUUUAAUUAAAUUUAUCAUUAAUUUAUGAUUUAUUGAUCCAUUAUUAUUGAUUAAAAAUUUAAGUUACUUUAGGGAUAACAGCGUAAUUUUUUUGGAGAGUUCUUAUCGAUAAAAAAUAUUGCGACCUCGAUGUUGGAUUAAGAUAUAAUUUUAGG
rnacentral:rRNA from 1 species